CACGCAGGCGGUUCUGCGCGUUUCGAGUGACAGCGGGCGGCUUACCUGCCCGAGUAUUCGAAAGACGGUAGGACUUGAGGGCCAGAGAGGGACACGGAAUUCCGGGUGGAGUGGUGAAAUGCGUAGAGAUCCGGAGGAACACCGAAGGCGAAGGCAGUGUCCUGGCUGGUGACUGACGCUGAGGUGCGAAAGCCGAGGGGAGCGAACGGGAUUAGAUACCCCGGUAGUCCUGGCCGUAAACGAUGACCACCAGGUGUGGGAGGUAUCGACCCCUUCGUGCCGGAGUCAACACACUAAGUGGUCCGCCUGGGGAUACGGUCGCAAGAUUAAAA
rnacentral:rRNA from 1 species